rnacentral:lncRNA from 1 species
CUCUUCUCUCCCUCAGUUUUUUUGUUCUUCUUGUGAGGAAGAUGAUUUGGUGAUUGUUCUUAUUAUGGAGAAAAUGAUGAUGAAAAAAUGAGCCUCUCCCUUUUUCCUUUUUAGAAUUUUCCUUUUAUAUUUUUUAUUUAAUUUUUUUCUUUAUUUAUUAUCCUACGUGGAAUCAUAUAAUUGGUGGCUUGUGGGAAUAAGUGUGUGGCAUGUGGAAAGAUGAGGGUGGUGCAUGGAAAAAUGACUAGGGUGUGUGCCUUUUGCAUGUAUCCAAUAAAAAAUGAAAAGUGAGGUGUUGAGGUGACAU